UACAGGGGGUGCAAACGUUGCUCGGAAUUAUUGGGCGUAAAGCGCACGUAGGCGGUUCGGUAUGUCGGAUGUGAAAGCCCUUGGCUCAACUGAGGAAGUGCAUCCGAAACUGGCGAGCUAGAGUAUGUAAGAGGGUCGCGGAAUUCCCGGUGUAGAGGUGAAAUUCGUAGAUAUCGGGAGGAACACCGGUGGCGAAGGCGGCGACCUGGGACAAUACUGACGCUGAGGUGCGAAAGCGUGGGGAGCAAACAGG
rnacentral:rRNA from 1 species